CGAAGCUCUUCUCUUGUUAACCUCUUUGGUGUAGGGACUUGGUCAAUAGUAGGGGGGGCUGAGGGCUUCAAUAUUACUAGUUGAGGAGCGACCCUAGUCCUCCGAGCUUCAUGGUUCAAUUGCUCCUCUUGAUGUCGUGCGAAAGAGAUGGCUGCCAUAAGCGUAUACGGUUGUCGCGCUUUAACUUCUCCUCGGAUCUCCGGCUUCAAGCCCUCAAUGAAGGUCCACAAUAGCUAUUUUUG
rnacentral:lncRNA from 1 species